rnacentral:lncRNA from 1 species
UUUACAAGUAAGUUGUGACAUAAUGAUUCUUGGAAGUAUACUUGAACUUCCGGAAGUCUAUUCAUACGGAUUUAUAUAAAUAAGCUGCGCAUAAUUUGACUGGAAGCAAAAGCAUACUAACCAUACAUGCACAUAUCGGAGGUAUAAGUUCGGAAGUACAACUUAAUAUUAAGCAAAAGACAAGAGGAUAAUUUGACUUCUUCAUCAUCUGAAAGCAGCUUAUAUAGAGUAUGUCUACUUCAAUCCCUGUUGCAAUUGUCACAAUUAUUCUACUGUGUGAAAUGACACAUAUGGAGUGUCAGUUAUGUCGAUUUAGAAAUGGUGGCUGCAGGGAUACCUUAGGGAAUCGUUAUGGCCGAGGUCGCUGUUUUAGACUUGGUAGAAGAAUAGGAAUACUCAAGGCCUGUAUACAAAUCGGUUCAGUAUGCCGAUGCAAAACUGGUGGCAAUAUUGUUUAUGACACGAUGCUACCAUAUGAUGAAGUACGCUUAAACGGGACACAGACUGACGACCAGUUUCAAAUGUUAUAUUGAACAGAUUCACAUGAUAAGAAUGGUUAUAUUGCUUGAUUUUUUGACGGGCGAUCCUAACAAACGUAGUACUUACAGGAAUGAUUGUAUUCAUUUUAGAUUGCCUUAUUAUCUCGUAGUACUUUAAGGAAUAGAAAUAUAUUGUAUUUAUUAUUUGGUUUGCCCUGACAUAAAUAGUCUGUGUUUAGUACAAAUUUACUUUAAGAAUAUUUAAUUCAGUGUUGAACAAAACAUUCAAUGAUGUUUAUAAAGGAUGUUUUACUGUAAUCAAAUGUUUUAUUUUUCUGAUGAUAAAUAAUAAAACCAUUAUAACUUUG